rnacentral:rRNA from 1 species
AGUCGACGGGAUCCAUCAAGCUUGCUUGGUGGUGAGAGUGGCGAACGGGUGAGUAAUGCGUGACCGACCUGCCCCAUGCUCCGGAAUAGCUCCUGGAAACGGGUGGUAAUGCCGGAUGUUCCACAUGAUCGCAUGUGAUUGUGGGAAAGAUUCUAUCGGCGUGGGAUGGGGUCGCGUCCUAUCAGCUUGUUGGUGAGGUAACGGCUCACCAAGGCUUCGACGGGUAGCCGGCCUGAGAGGGCGACCGGCCACAUUGGGACUGAGAUACGGCCCAGACUCCUACGGGAGGCAGCAGUGGGGAAUAUUGCACAAUGGGCGCAAGCCUGAUGCAGCGACGCCGCGUGAGGGAUGGAGGCCUUCGGGUUGUAAACCUCUUUUGUUUGGGAGCAAGCCUUCGGGUGAGUGUACCUUUCGAAUAAGCGCCGGCUAACUACGUGCCAGCAGCCGCGGUAAUACGUAGGGCGCAAGCGUUAUCCGGAUUUAUUGGGCGUAAAGGGCUCGUAGGCGGCUCGUCGCGUCCGGUGUGAAAGUCCAUCGCUUAACGGUGGAUCUGCGCCGGGUACGGGCGGGCUGGAGUGCGGUAGGGGAGACUGGAAUUCCCGGUGUAACGGUGGAAUGUGUAGAUAUCGGGAAGAACACCGAUGGCGAAGGCAGGUCUCUGGGCCGUCACUGACGCUGAGGAGCGAAAGCGUGGGGAGCGAACAGGAUUAGAUACCCUGGUAGUCCACGCCGUAAACGGUGGACGCUG